rnacentral:rRNA from 1 species
AGGACGAACGCUGGCGGCGUGCUUAACACAUGCAAGUCGAGCGGAAAGGCCUUUCGGGGUACUCGAGCGGCGAACGGGUGAGUAACACGUGAGUAAUCUGCCCAUCGCUUCAGGAUAGCCAUCGGAAACGGUGAUUAAUACUGGAUAUGACAUUCCUUCGCAUGGUUGGGGUGUGGUAAAGUUUUUUCGGCGGUGGAUGUGCUCGCGGCCUAUCAGUCUUGGUUGGUGGGGUAAUGGACCUACCGAAGGUCUUUGGACGGGUAGCCCGGCCUGGAGGACGGGUCGACCCGGCCACGACGUGGGACUGGACGACCACCGGCCCAGACCUCCGUACGGGAGCAGCGAGGUAGGGAAUAGUUAGGAACAAGUGGGACGGAAGCCGUAGACUCCGAGGACCGAACCGGCCGGACGGUAGGAGGG